rnacentral:rRNA from 1 species
UACGUAGGUGGCAAGCGUUGUCCGGAUUUACUGGGCGUAAAGCGCGCGCAGGCGGUUCGGUACGUCCGGCGUGAAAGCUCCCGGCUCAACUGGGAGAGGGCGUUGGAUACGGCCGGACUGGAGGGCGGUAGAGGUCGGUGGAAUUCCCGGUGUAGUGGUGAAAUGCGUAGAGAUCGGGAGGAACACCUGUGGCGAAGGCGGCCGACUGGGCCGUCCCUGACGCUGAGGCGCGAAAGCGUGGGGAGCAAACAGG